rnacentral:misc_RNA from 1 species
GAUGAAGAACGCAGCGAAAUGCGAUAAGUAGUGUGAAUUGCAGAAGUACCGUGAAUCAUCGAAUCUUUGAACGCAAAUUGCACUCUCUGGUAUUCCGGGGAGUAUGCCUGUUUGAGGGUCGCUUAACAAACCAUCGAUUUCGUUGCUUUUUUUUUUUUAAAAAAGUGAUUUUUAUGGGAUUUGACCCGUCUUUUUUUUUAUAUUUAAGUGGUUUAAAAUUGAUUUUUUUGGUACGAUCGAAGCGUAUUUUUAUGAUCAAUUUUUGGUUAAAGAAACGCACACGUACCGUUAUUUAUAUGAUGUAAUACGUUUGACUAUUGGAUUUAGUUCAUUCGUAUACGAUAUUUUUCAAUAUUUGACCUCAAAUCAGGUAAGAACACCCGCUGAACUUAAGCAUAUCAAUAAGCGGAGGA